AGACACCAGAGUAGCAGUUUGUCUACCACGGGGACGUGCCACCAGUUAACCCCCAACAGAUCCCAGGAGACUCACAGACCUGUGAUGGUGGUGGUGCUGACAUUUCUUCCAGCACCUAUGCUGCUGGUCGUGGCCUAUGGGUUUUGGAAGAAGAGACACAUGGGAAGAUACAACUUGGACAGCAACUAUGCUAAAUCCUGGCUACACCUUCCUGAAGGACCAGAGACACUCUGGAAGCCUGCUUGCUCUAAGAUAACUCAGUGAGCUCGGAAUCUGUUUCCAGUGGGCUCAGAAGGCUGAAAGAGGACCAAAGACGAGGCAAUGGCCCUGGGGCAGGAGGACAGUGGAGCUACCUUCCCUUUACCAUGGUCACUAUGUCCUCAGCUCCCUCUGUUCACUUCAAACACCUCUUACGUUUGGAGACAAGAAUCAGGUCUCAGGAGACCCCCCCGGAGCAGCCAGUGUUUCUAGAGUCCUGUUCUGGAUGAGAAGAAACAAAGACUAAGACCUGGGCCACAGAAGAAUUGGUAGCAGAGCUGAUCAAGACCACAUGUCUUCUGAUGUUCCCUGACUGUGACUGCUGGUCCCUUCUGACCUGGGAGCCUACAGGUCACACUUGUUUCUACUUGUUUCCUGCCUGCCAUCCCUUUCAGGACCAUGACAGUCUUCAGCUACAAGGGCCAUCCUCUCUCUCCCAAGAUCAAGGCAAAGCCUGGGUUUCCCCACUCGAGU
rnacentral:lncRNA from 1 species